rnacentral:rRNA from 1 species
UACAGAGGGUGCGAGCGUUAAUCGGAAUUACUGGGCGUAAAGCGUGCGUAGACGGUUAUUUAAGUCGGGUGUGAAAGCCCCGGGCUCAACCUGGGAAUUGCAUUCGAGACUGAAUAGCUAGGGUACGGUAGAGGGAAGCGGAAUUUCCGGUGUAGCGGUGAAAUGCGUAGAGAUCCGGAGGAACCCCAGAGGCGAAGGCGGCGCCCUGGCUCGCAACUGACGCUCAGACACGACAGCAUGGGGAGCGAACGGG